rnacentral:lncRNA from 1 species
CAGCUUUUAUUUCUUCCAUCACAUUCCCAGUGGGACAAAAGUUUACAUACGCUCAAUUAGUAUUUGGUAGCAUUGCCUUUAAAUUGUUUAACUUGGGUCAAACGUUUCAGGUAGCCUUCCACAAUAAGUUAGGUGAAUUUUGUCCCAUUCCUCCUGACAGAGCUGGUGUAACUGAGUCAGGUUUGUAGGGCUCCUUGCUCGCACACGCUUUUUCAGUUCUGCCCACAAAUUUUCUCUAGGAUUGACGUCAGGGCUUUGUGAUGGCCACUCCAAUACCUUGACUUUGUUGUCCUUAAGCCAUUUUGCCACAACUUUGGAAGUACUGUAUGCUUGGGGUCAUUGUCCAUUUGGAAGACCCAUUUGCGACCAAGCUUUAACUUCCUGACUGAUGUCUUGAGAUGUUGCUUCAAUAUAUCCACAUAAUUUUCCUGCCUCAUGAUGCCAUCUAUUUUGUGAAGUGCACCAGUCCCUCCUGCAGCAAAGCACCCCCACAACAUGAUGCUGCCACCCCCAUGCUUCACGGUUGGGAUGGUGUUCUUCGGCUUGCAAGCCUCCCCCUUUUUCCUCCAAACAUAACGAUGGUCAAUUAUGGCCAAACAGUUCUAUUCUUGUUUCAUCAGACCAGAGGACAUUUAUCCAAAAAGUACGAUCUUUGUCCCCAUGUGCAGUUGCAAACCGUAGUCUGGCUUUUUUAUGGCGGUUUUGAAGCAGUGGCUUCUUCCUUGCUGAGCGGCCUUUCAGGUUAUAUUGAUAUAGGACUUGUUUUACUGUGGAUAUAGAUACUUUUGAACCUGUUUCCUACAGCAUCUUCAAAGUCCUUUGCUGUUGUUCUGGGAUUGAUUUGCACUUUUCGCACCAAAGUACGCACCAAAAUAGCAUAACCUGACUUGGCCCAGCCUCAUUUACACCAUCAUCCAUGAUAUGACUAGACCCAGCCUCAUCUACACCACCAUCUAUAGCCUGACUAGUCCCAGCCUCAUCUACACCACCAUCUAUAGCCUGACUAGUCCCAGCCUCAUCUACACCACCAUCUAUAGCCUGACUAGUCCCAGCCUCAUUUACACCACAAUUUGUAGCAUGACGGGGCCCAGCCUCUGCUGCCUGCGUCUCAUGACCCCCUGCACGUUGACCUCUUUCCCCCACUGGUGCUGGUACCCUUACCUUGUCUACGGCCUUUAUGUGGGCACGCAAAGCUCUUAUGCCCCAAAUUACUGUGGAUAUAGAUACUUUUGUACCCGUUUCCUCCAGCAUCUUCACAAGGUCCUUUGCUGUUGUUCUGGGAUUGAUUUGCACUUUUCACACCAAAGUACGUUAAUCUCUCGGAGACAGAACGCGUCUCCUUCCUGAGCGGUAUGACGGCUGCGUGGUCCCAUGGUGUUUAUACUUGCGUAGUAUUGUUUGUACAGAUGAACGUGGUACCUUCAGGGCAUUUGGAAAUUGCUCCCAAGGAUGAACCAGACUUGUGGAGGUAUACAAUUUUAUUUCUGAGGUCUGGGCUGAUUUAUUUAGAUUUUCCCAUGAUGUCAAGCAAAGAGGCACUGAGUUUGAAGGUAGGCCUUGAAAUACAUCCACAGGUACACCUCCAAUUGACUCAAAUGAUGUCAAUUAACCUAUCAGAAGCUUCUAAAGCCAUGACAUCAUUUUCUGGAAUUUUCCAACCUGUUUAACGGUACAGUCAACUUUGUCUAUGUAAACUUCUGACCCACUGGAAUUGGGAUACAGUGAAUUAUACAUUUAAUAAUCUGUCUGUAAACAAUUGUUGGAAAAAUGCACUUGUGGCAUGCACAAAGUAGAUGUCCAAACUGACUUGCCAAAACUAUAGUUUGUUAACAAGAAAUUUGUGGAGUGGUUGAAAAACAAGUUUUAAUGACUCCAACCUAAGUGUAUGUAAACUUCUGACUUCAACUGUAUAUACUCUUAUUGAGUGGCAGGCAGCCACAUGAUUCGCUGCUCGAAGGAGCAGUGUAUUUGCAUUAGCACGCAGGUGUACCUAAUGAAGUGGGUGUACAGUAUUGUCAAAUCUGAAAACACGGUCUGGAAAAGUGUUAUGUGGGACCAUAGAAACAGUGUCUGAUAAAGAAUGAUGAUGAAGUAUUACAUCCAUAGAUAAUGUAGUCCAACUGGUUCAUGUUCCACGGUAACUGGUGUCAAUGGAUCUCGUUAUCCUGAAACUUUCAUGAUCUAAACAUGGAAUAUUGUUAGUCAGUUUCCAUAAAACUAUGCAUUAAGAGUAAUGCAAUAGUUACUUAUCAUUUUGAG